GAUAAACGCUAGCGGCAGGCUUAACACAUGCAAGUCGAGGGGCAGCAUAGAUUGUAGCAAUACAAUUGGUGGCGACCGGCGCACGGGUGCGUAACGCGUAUGCAACCUACCCGUCACAGGGGGAUAAUCCGGAGAAAUCUGGUCUAAUACCCCAUAACAUAUGGAUCGGCAUCGGUUCAUGUUGAAAUUUUCGGAGGUGACGGAUGGGCAUGCGUAGCAUUAGCUUGUUGGUGAGGUAACGGCUCACCAAGGCGACGAUGCUUAGGGGGACUGAGAGGUUUUCCCCCCACACUGGUACUGAGACACGGACCGGACUCCUACGGGAGGCAGCAGUGAGGAAUAUUGGUCAAUGGGCGCAAGCCUGAACCAGCCAUGCCGCGUACAGGAUGACGGCUCUAUGAGUUGUAAACUGCUUUUGUACGAGGGUAAAGUGGGUUACGUGUAACCUUUUGAAAGUAUCGUACGAGUAAGGAUCGGCUAACUUCGUGCCAGCAGCCGCCGUAA
rnacentral:rRNA from 1 species